rnacentral:rRNA from 1 species
GAACCGUCCAAACGUUAUUCGGGAAUCACUGGGGCUUAAAGGGUGCGUAGGCGGCUUGGCAAGUUGGGUGUGAAAUCCCUCGGGCUCAACCGGGGGGAACUGCGCUCAAAACUGCCUAGCUAGAGGGAGAUAGAGGUGAGCGGAACUAAUGGUGGAGCGGUGAAAUGCGUUGAUAUCAUUAGGAACACCUGUGGCGAAAGCGGCUCACUGGAUCUUUUCUGACGCUGAGGCACGAAAGCUAGGGUAGCGAACGGGAUUAGAUACCCCGGUAGUCCUAGCUGUAAACGAUGAGCACUAGGUUGGAGGCUCCUCCAUAGGCUUCCGACCGAAGCGAAAGUGUUAAGUGCUCCGCCUGGGGAGUAUGGUCGCAAAGGCUG